rnacentral:rRNA from 1 species
AUGCACGCUGGCGGCGUGCCUAAUACAUGCCAGUCGAGCGAACAGACGAGAGUGCUUGCACUCUCUGACGUUAGCGGCGGACGGGUGAGUAACACGUGGGUAACCUACCUAUAAGACUGGGAUAACUUCGGGAAACCGGAGCUAAUACCGGAUAAUAUUUAGCUUCGCAUGAAGCAAUAGUGAAAGACGGUUCUGCUGUCACUUAUAGAUGGACCCGCGGUGUAUUAGCUAGUUGGUGAGGUAACGGCUCACCAAGGCAACGAUACAUAGCCGACCUGAGAGGGUGAUCGGCCACACUGGGACUGAGACACGGCCCAGACUCCUACGGGAGGCAGCAGUAGGGAAUCUUCCGCAAUGGACGAAAGUCUGACGGAGCAAUGCCGCGUGAGUGAAGAAGGUUUUCGGAUCGUAAAACUCUGUUGUAAGGGAAGAACAAGUACGUUAGUAACUGAACGUACCUUGACGGUACCUUACCAGAAAGCCACGGCUAACUACGUG